UGGCUCAGAUUGAACGCUGGCGGCAGGCCUAACACAUGCAAGUCGAGCGGUAGAGAGAAGCUUGCUUCUCUUGAGAGCGGCGGACGGGUGAGUAAUACCUAGGAAUCUGCCUGAUAGUGGGGGAUAACGUUCGGAAACGGACGCUAAUACCGCAUACGUCCUACGGGAGAAAGCAGGGGACCUUCGGGCCUUGCGCUAUCAGAUGAGCCUAGGUCGGAUUAGCUAGUUGGUGAGGUAAUGGCUCACCAAGGCUACGAUCCGUAACUGGUCUGAGAGGAUGAUCAGUCACACUGGAACUGAGACACGGUCCAGACUCCUACGGGAGGCAGCAGUGGGGAAUAUUGGACAAUGGGCGAAAGCCUGAUCCAGCCAUGCCGCGUGUGUGAAGAAGGUCUUCGGAUUGUAAAGCACUUUAAGUUGGGAGGAAGGGCAGUUACCUAAUACGUGACUGCCUUGACGUUACCGACAGAAUAAGCACCGGCUAACUCUGUGCCAGCAGCCGCGGUAAUACAGAGGGUGCAAGCGUUAAUCGGAAUUACUGGGCGUAAAGCGCGCGCAGGUGGUUUGUUAAGUUGAAUGUGAAAUCCCCGGGCUCAACCUGGGAACUGCAUCCAAAACUGGCAAGCUAGAGUAUGGUAGAGGGUAGUGGAAUUUCCUGUGUAGCGGUGAAAUGCGUAGAUAUAGGAAGGAACACCAGUGGCGAAGGCGACUACCUGGACUGAUACUGACACUGAGGUGCGAAAGCGUGGGGAG
rnacentral:rRNA from 1 species